ensembl:lncRNA
CAUUACUUUUCUGACAAAGGUCCAUCCAGUCAAAGCUAUGGCUUUUCCGGUAGUCAUGUAUGAAUGUGAGAGUUAGACUAUAAAGAAAGCUGAGCACCAAAGAAUUGAUGCUUUUGAGCGGUGGUGUUGGAGAAGACGCUUGAGAGUCCUUUGGACUGCAAGGAGAUCCAACCAGUCAAUCCUAAAGGAAAUCAGUCCUGAAUAUUCAUUGGAAGGAUUGAUGCUGAAACUGAAGCUUCAGUAUUUUGGCCACCUGAUGCAGGGAACUGACUCAUUGGAAAAGACCCUGCUAUUGGGAAAGGUUGAAGACAGGAGAAGGGGACGACAGAGGAUGAGAUGGUUGGAUGACAUCAUUGACUCAAUGGACAUGAGUUUGUGGAAGUUCUGAGUGUUGGUGAUGGACAGGGAAGCCUGACGUGCUGUAGUCCAGAGGUUUGCAAAGAGACAGACACAACUGAGAGACUGAACUGAACUGAACUCAACUGAAACUUACCCCAACUCCAGUCUACAAACCACCAUGAAUGCUUUCACAAAACAGAAUUUUGGAUGACGCUUUUCCCACCUGUGGACUCACUGGCACACUGCUGACAUCACCCUCCAACAUCAUGAUGCUGUUUGGGAAGAAUUGUGUUCAUCUUGAUCAGCCUGCUCAAGCCUUUGCAUGUUCUGGUAUGAAUUCAGUCUGUCUCAGCUUUGGCACGACUUUCUUUGCAGCUCCUCAACCUCACACCAGAUUGUACCUUGUCAACAUUAUAUCUGAAAAAUUUUACUAGAAAGUUGGCUUGGAGGCAGCAAAAAUAACAUUUCUCAGGUGGAUAAAGAUGUGAUCAUUUACCUCUGAUGUGACACACAUGAGGAUAGAUGCUACUUUUAAAAGAUUAAAGUUAAGACAAGGGGACCACACAAGCACUGCGGGUGAUGAAGGCUGUUGCCUGUCCUCUGGAAUGUAUUCUCCCUUGUUCCCUGGCAGGAAGCUGUAGCUGGACCCAUGGUUCAGUCAGUCUCAAGUCCCAGACGCCUUACCACCCCAUGAGUCUAGCAGGGUUAGAGGCAAGGGACACGGCCUUGUGCCCUUGGGUCUGUGCUCUCUGCCUUUCCUGGGCUGGAACUUCCAAAGGCUCACCACCCUGCUUCCAGCACACAGUGAGGUCCACACCUCAGAGCAGAGGUGGCAAACUUUUGCUAGAAAGGGCUGACUGGUAAAUAUUUCCAGCUUUUCCACCAGACAGUCUUUGGCUCAUGUUGUGAAAGCACCUGAAGAAGAUACGUAAACAGGUAGGCAUGACUGGAUUCAAAUAAAAAGUUCUUUACAAAAGCAGGUGGCAGGCUGGAUCAGGCUCACAGGCCUGAAGUUUUGCAGCUCCUGCCCCACAGUGGAGACUGUGGAUAGAAAGAGGUGCCCAGAUGAGGCCUGAGGCUGUGCUCAGUCCACAAGGAGACUUCAGCUGGGCUCUAGCCUCCGGAGAUGGACUGACUCAUCAUCACCUCUUACUUCUCCCAAAGUAAAACUGAAAAGUCACUCAGUCGUGUCUGACUCUUUGCGACCACAUACAGUCCAUGGAGUUCUCCAGGCCAGAAUACUGGAGUGGGUAGCCUUUCCCUUCUCCCAAGCCAAGGAUCGAACCCAGGGGAUCUUCCCUGCCCAGGGAUCGAACCCAGGUCUCCCACAUUGCAGGCGGAACCAGCUGAGCCACAAGAGAAGCCCAAGGAGGUUCUCUCAAGGAGAUUCUUACUUCUCCCAAGGAGGUUCCAAGUGACUCCUUCCUCUCUAUUUCAUUUAAGGAUGAGACUAGUGUUCUCAAAUGCCACCUGUCCAUCUGGCCUUUUGUCUUAUGC